GAUGAACGCUGGCGGCGUGCUUAACACAUGCCAGUCGAACGGUGAAGGCGGAGCUUGCUCUGCUGGAUCAGUGGCGAACGGGUGAGUAACACGUGAGCAAUCUGCCCCUGACUCUGGGAUAAGCGCUGGAAACGGCGUCUAAUACUGGAUACGAGCUGCGAAGGCAUCUUCAGCAGCUGGAAAGAAUUUCGGUCAGGGAUGAGCUCGCGGCCUAUCAGCUUGUUGGUGAGGUAAUGGCUCACCAAGGCGUCGACGGGUAGCCGGCCUGAGAGGGUGACCGGCCACACGGGGACUGGGACACUGCCCAAGCUCCUACGGGAGGCAGCAGUGGGGAAUAUUCCACAAUGGGCGAAAGCCUGAUGCAGCAACGCCGCGUGAGGGACGACGGCCUUCGGGUUGUAAACCUCCUUUAGCAGGGAAGAAGCGAAAGUGACGGUACCUGCAGAAAAAGCGCCGGCUAACUACGUG
rnacentral:rRNA from 1 species